rnacentral:ribozyme from 13 species
GAAAGAAGAAACAGAAGUAGAGAAAGAGCAGAAGGAAGGCAACCGGUCCUUCUCUUCUCCUUCUAUUUCUAUUUCUUCCUCUUCUUCCCCCUCUACUCCUUCUCCUGUCACUCCCACCUCUUCUUCUCUCCGAAAUGGGUUUACUGAGUCAUUAUUGCCACUUGAUAUGUUAACACCACGAAAGUUAAAACAUCUUGCCAGUCACAUGGUGUAAGUGAGAAAGAGAGAGAAAAGGUCAAUGUUUUGCUUUUUCUUCUGUUGCGUUUCUUUUGUAUUUAAAA